rnacentral:rRNA from 1 species
GAUGAACGCUGGCGGCGUGCUUAACACAUGCAAGUCGAACGGUGAAGCAGAGCUUGCUCUGUGGAUCAGUGGCGAACGGGUGAGUAACACGUGAGCAACCUGCCCCUGACUCUGGGAUAAGCGCUGGAAACGGCGUCUAAUACUGGAUAUGAGCUGCGACCGCAUGGUCAGCAGUUGGAAAGAUUUUUCGGUCUGGGAUGGGCUCACGGCCUAUCAGCUUGUUGGUGAGGUAAUGGCUCACCAAGGCGUCGACGGGUAGCCGGCCUGAGAGGGUGACCGGCCACGCUGGGACUGAGACACGGCCCAGACUCCUACGGGAGGCAGCAGUGGGGAAUAUUGCACAAUGGGCGAAAGCCUGAUGCAGCAACGCCGCGUGAGGGAUGACGGCCUUCGGGUUGUAAACCUCUUUUAGCAGUGAAGAAGCGAAAGUGACGGUACCUGCAGAAAAAGCGCCGGCUAACUACGUG